UACGAAGGGGGCUAGCGUUGCUCGGAAUUACUGGGCGUAAAGGGCUCGUAGGCGGCCAACUAAGUCAGACGUGAAAUCCCUCGGCUUAACCGGGGUACUGCGUCUGAUACUGGAUGGCUUGAGUUUGGGAGAGGGAUGCGGAAUUCCAGGUGUAGCGGUGAAAUGCGUAGAUAUCUGGAGGAACACCGGUGGCGAAGGCGGCAUCCUGGACCAACACUGACGCUGAGUGAGCGAAAGCCAGGGGAGCAAACGGG
rnacentral:rRNA from 1 species